rnacentral:rRNA from 1 species
UACAGAGGUCUCAAGCGUUGUUCGGAAUUAUUGGGCGUAAAGAGCUCGUAGGCGGUCUGUCGCGUCGGUCGUGAAAACUUGGGGCUUAACCCUGAGCUUGCGGUCGAUACGGGCAUGACUGGAGUUCGGCAGGGGAGACUGGAAUUCCUGGUGUAGCGGUGAAAUGCGCAGAUAUCAGGAGGAACACCGGUGGCGAAGGCGGGUCUCUGGGCCGAUACUGACGCUGAGGAGCGAAAGCGUGGGGAGCGAACAGG